rnacentral:rRNA from 1 species
CCUACGGGUGGCUGCAGUGGGGGAUAUUGGACAAUGGGGGGAACCCUGAUCCAGCCAUGCCGCGUGUGUGAAGAAGGCCCUCGGGUUGUAAAGCACUUUCAGUGAGGAAGAACGCCUGGUGGUUAAUACCCAUCAGGAAAGACAUCACUCACAGAAGAAGCACCGGCUAACUCCGUGCCAGCAGCCGCGGUAAUACGGAGGGUGCGAGCGUUAAUCGGAAUUACUGGGCAUAAAGCGCGCGUAGGUGGCUUGAUAAGCCGGUUGUGAAAGCCCCGGGCUCAACCUGGGAACGGCAUCCGGAACUGUCAAGCUAGAGUGAAGGAGAGGAAGGUAGAAUUCCCGGUGUAGCGGUGAAAUGCGUAGAGAUCGGGAGGAAUACCAGUGGCGAAGGCGGCCUUCUGGACUGACACUGACACUGAGGUGCGAAAGCGUGGGUAGCAAACAGGAUUAGAACCCUUGUAGUC